GCAUGGGCUUGGGUACAAUUUGUCAGUAGUUCUGGUGACAAAGUCAAUAGUAAGUCAGUAUAGACUUACUAUCGACGUUUCCUACAGGCUGCCUCAGUAUAGAAUCACAACAAAUUAUGCGACAUAUAAACUUCAAUACAAAGAAAAAUUUAUUUUUAGCCUACCGUUCCUUCCAUUGUUCCAAGCAUGACGAAUGAAAGAUGUGACCGCAAUUGGUGCUGUCUACUUCCUCGGUUUCUCGCACAUCGUCUUCUACGAAUUUUAGUUUUUUUUAUUGCAAAAACAAGUAUCCAAUCAUUGGUAAAUGGUUAAGACACUUUUUUGUUUAUAUUUCGCGAUUAGACCCUUGAUAACACUGCUUGCAAGAUACCAUGGAAUAUAAGAAUUAUACAAUCAUCAAUGGGCAAUGUUCUGUGCCUUAGGGAAAGCACCGAAGAAAUAAAGAUAAAUGGAGAAACAGUGGUCAGAAUCGUAAUAAAAAAAACAAUUGCACAAACGUUAGGUGAUUGUGGUCUGUUUUAAAUUCUAGAAGUGUAAUUUUAUAACUUCCAUUUAAAAUAUUAUAAAAUAAAAACAAGCAAAAAGGCAUUAAGUUCGGCCGGGCCGAACUUUGGAUACCCACCACCUCGGGUACAUAUGUAAA